UACGUAGGUGGCAAGCGUUGUCCGGAUUUACUGGGCGUAAAGGGCGUGCAGGCGGUUUGUUAAGUCUGGGGUGAAAGCUCCCGGCUCAACUGGGAGAGGUCCUUGGAUACUGGCAGACUUGAGGAGGGUAGAGGAGAGUGGAAUUCCCGGUGUAGUGGUGAUAUGCGUAGAUAUCGGGAGGAACACCGGUGGCGAAGGCGGGUCUCUGGGCAAUUCCUGACGCUGAGGCGCGAAAGCGUGGGGAGCAAACGGG
rnacentral:rRNA from 1 species